UACGUAGGGGGCAAGCGUUGUCCGGAGUUACUGGGCGUAAAGCGCGCGCAGGCGGCGGUGCUGGCCCGGCGUGAAAGCCCCCGGCUCAACUGGGGAGGGUCACGCGAUACUGAUCGACUCGAAGGCAGGAGAGGGUAGUGGAAUUCCCGGUGUAGUGGUGAAAUGCGUAGAUAUCUGGAGGAACACCGGUGGCGAAGGCGGCAUCCUGGACCGGCAUUGACGCUGAGGCGCGAAAGCCAGGGGAGCAAACGGG
rnacentral:rRNA from 1 species